ACACCGGGCAGUGUUGUGGAGCUCCCCAUCUCCCUCCUCAGGGUGUCUCCAACAUGUUCCGGUGGGUGGCCCCGGCCGGUGUUGCCUCACAUCUUGGUGCCUUUCACCAGGCGGAUUCACUUGCUCAGGAGUCCAUCUGCUUGGACGGCCACAGGUGUAGCCUCGCGUGUGCAGCAGACCCAAAAAUGAACCUGUGAAGUCUAUCCAGACCUUUGGCACUACAGACACUGAAUUUUUUGCAAGGCUGAGGAGUAAGGAAGAAUUGUUAGAACCAGCCUGAGAUCAACUGGCUGUGCAGCACUAAUCCAUAAGAAACAAAAAACUGUUUAAAAGAUGGACUAUUAAGCCUGCAUGUAGUAACACAAGUCACUUUUAACUUACUGGGGCAGUGUCUGUGUCUGACCAAUUGUUGGAGAUAGUAGUACUAAACAGCAAAAGGGAGAGUAGAUUCUGAGGUGGUUUUAAGAGAGCAAGAGAACAAAGAUCUGUGAGCUAGGCGUUGUACCAACCCUCCUUCCUGUUACAUGCCUCCGGCCCUCUCUGGAAGAGGGCUCUCCAUACCAGAAGCUGCAAAUCAGAACUUUUGAGAGGUGUGUACAGAAAGAAAACUGCCUUGUUCCAAAUUACUCUUCAUGUUUUAACUCCCUGCACCUAAGAUUAAGACUUGCACUGUUAAAUGGAAACAGUCUAUCUGUGGGGGCAUUCUUGAACAUAAAUCCAUUGCCCCUUCUGCCCAGCAAAGGGGCUCAUUUGUAGUAAAUUUAAUGGUAGUAGUUUAUGAAGAAUGUGAAGUACAUUCUGGCAGCCUCACUGAGAAAAUACAUGCACAGUUGUAGCUGGUUUUGAGAUUUUAACAUUGCAGCAAGUGAAGUAUAUCGUUUACAUAGUGACCAGCUGGGAGGGCAGUGGUUUUCUUCACUCUUGUAUUGGGUCUGGUAGAGAGGGAGUUAAUUUUCCCUGCAGCAGCCCUCAUA